rfam:Stegodyphus mimosarum contig64106, whole genome shotgun sequence.
GCCAUCGUGGUGUAGUGGUCAGCACGCUCGGCAUGUAUUCGAGAAGUCCGUGGUUCGAGUCCUGGGGAGGGCA